rnacentral:rRNA from 1 species
AAGUCGUAACAAGGUUUCCGUAGGUGAACCUGCGGAAGGAUCAUUACCGAGCGAGGGUCCCUGCGGCCCGAACCUCCCAUCCCCUGCGAACCCACCACAGUUGCUUUGGCAGGCCGGCAUCGUAGUACCCGCCCCCGCUGACGCCCCCCGGGGGAAGACCCUGGGGGGGGAGGUUUAGUGGGUGUGCCUGUCAGAGGCCCAUGAAAAACCCUAUGUAUCCCAUGUCGUCUGAUCGCGAACGAGGAAUAGCUAAAAAACUUUCAACAACGGAUCUCUUGGUUCCAGCAUCGAUGAAGGACGCAGCGAAAUGCGAUAAGUAAUGUGAAUUGCAGAAUUCAGUGAAUCAUCGAAUCUUUGAACGCACAUUGCGCCCCCCGGUAUUCCGGGGGGCAUGCCUGUUCGAGCGUCAUUAGACACCACUCAGGCCAGUCCUGGAGUUAGGCCCUCGUCCCCCCCCCCCGGGGGGCGUGCCCGAAAGCUAGCGGCGGUGCCAACCGGUCCCCGAGCGCAUUAGAGUAUACAUACAUAUCUUCGCUCCGGAGGCCCCGGGGGCUCCUGCCGGAAAAACGGCCACGCGCCAUAGAAUGAUCGACCUCGGAUCAGGUAGGGAUACCCGCUGAACUUAAGCAUAUCAAUAAGCGGAGGAAAAGAAACCAACAGGGAUUGCCUUAGUAACGGCGAGUGAAGCGGCAACAGCUCAAAUUUGAAAUCUGGUCGCAAGGCCCGAGUUGUAAUUUGUAGAGGAUGCCUCGGGUGCGGCGCCGGCCUAAGUCCCCUGGAACGGGGCGUCAUAGAGGGUGAGAGUCCCGUAUGUGGCCGGCCGCCAACCCCAUGCGAGGCUCCUUCGACGAGUCGAGUUGUUUGGGAAUGCAGCUCAAAAUGGGUGGUAAAUUUCAUCUAAAGCUAAAUACCAGCUGGAGACCGAUAGCGCACAAGUAGAGUGAUCGAAAGAUGAAAAGCACUUUGGAAAGAGAGUCAAAAAGUACGUGAAAUUGUUGAAAGGGAAGCGCUUACAGCCAGACUUGCCCGCGGGUGAUCAGCCGUCCUUCGGGGCGGUGCACUCCCCCGCGAUCAGGCCAGCAUCGAUUUUGGCGGCUGGAUAAAGGCCCCGGGAACGUGACUCCCCUUGGGGAGUGUUAUAGCCCGGGGUGUAAUGCGGCCCGCCGGGAUCGAGGACCGCGCCCUAGGCUAGGAUGCUGGCGUAAUGGCUGCCAGCGACC